rnacentral:rRNA from 1 species
GACGUAGGGCGCGAGCGUUGUCCGGAUUUAUUGGGCGUAAAGAGCUCGUAGGCGGCUCGUUGCGUCAGCUGUGAAAACCCGCAGCUCAACUGCGGGACUGCAGUCGAUACGGGCAGGCUAGAGUUCGGUAGGGGAGACUGGAAUUCCUGGUGUAGCGGUGAAAUGCGCAGAUAUCAGGAGGAACACCGGUGGCGAAGGCGGGUCUCUGGGCCGAUACUGACGCUGAGGAGCGAAAGCGUGGGGAGCGAACAGG